rnacentral:lncRNA from 1 species
UGCAAUAAAAGAGCUCGCCCCAAAGCGGUGGGCGCGCCACUUGCUGCNCAUCUGCAAUAAAAGAGCUCGCCCCAAAGCGGUGGGCGCGCCACUUGCUGCAAGAGAAGCUCGUCUCUGCCUGGUUUCUUCCCGCAUCUGGCGACCCCGAGCUGAUCAGCUCCCUCUGCUCAUCGGCUGGAAUAGCCCUGGUGCACCGCAGCGCGUCUUUCACACCGGUGGUUUCGGCUCAACUAGAUCGGACCUGCCGGAUCAGGACAACCCGGAAUACCACCCUCAAAUCGUCGCGCUCUUACAGCAGAUCCAAACACAAAAACCAACUCAUGACUACGUAAUUCACGAAACAUUUUCGCCAAGAAGAGGUGCUCCCCGCCCCCAAGGUGACAUAUCGCCAACUGCCUGGGGCCACCUGGAGCCCACCCGUACCAUUAAUAACUUGGGGGCGAGGAUACGCCGCUCUUAGCACACCUACUAGCCCCGUGUGGGUCCCCGCCCGUUACGCUCGGCCGUGGAAGGAGGGUGGCGUGGCAUCAGGGCCUGAAUUCAAUCGAUGGCUGGCGUCCACUCGAACCAUUACCCGGGCACAGGCUCGUGGUACGCCCAAUGCCCCAGUUACAUGGGGGCAGGUUAAGGCUUUGUCCCUGCAAGCGGAGAAAACGCUGGAGACUACUGGCCUGGAAAAGACUUCAGAAAACUUUGUGGUAGCCCUGCUCGCGUGUUUAAACUCUAAUUCCUGUGUAAUGUUGUUAAGUAUUUUACACUGUUGUGUCCUC